AGUGAACGCUGGCGGUAGGCCUAACACAUGCAAGUCGAACGGCAGCACAGUAAGAGCUUGCUCUUACGGGUGGCGAGUGGCGGACGGGUGAGGAAUACAUCGGAAUCUACUUUUUCGUGGGGGAUAACGUAGGGAAACUUACGCUAAUACCGCAUACGACCUACGGGUGAAAGCAGGGGAUCUUCGGACCUUGCGCGAUUGGAUGAGCCGAUGUCGGAUUAGCUAGUUGGCGGGGUAAAGGCCCACCAAGGCGACGAUCCGUAGCUGGUCUGAGAGGAUGAUCAGCCACACUGGAACUGAGACACGGUCCAGACUCCUACGGGAGGCAGCAGUGGGGAAUAUUGGACAAGGGGCGCAAGCCUGAUCCAGCCAUACCGCGUGGGUGAAGAAGGCCUUCGGGUUGUAAAGCCCUUUUGUUGGGAAAGAAAAGCAGCAGGUUAAUACCCCGCUGUUCUGACGGUACCCAAAGAAUAAGCACCGGCUAACUUCGUG
rnacentral:rRNA from 1 species